rnacentral:tRNA from 1 species
GAGGGUAUAGCUCAGUGGUAGAGUGCGGGUUUAGCAUACCUGAGGUCCUGGGUUCAGUCCCCGAUACCUCCA